GGAGGGUGCCGGUCAGCGGAGCCGUGCGAUGUAUUUGAAAAGCAAUCAGUCCGACCUUCCCCCAUAGAUUCAUCCUGCCUGAAAAUCAUAUGCGUGGUUUUUCCUGUUUCCUGCUCUGUAGCUGACAUCAGGGGAGCAACGUGAACACAGGAAAAUGGAAAUCAACAUUUGAAACUUUUAAAUGGAAGCUUUAUUGGGGUUCCACAUAUGGAAAACUGCAAAUAGCAGAAGUAUGUGACUCAAUAAAUUAUUCUGGAGUGACCACAUCCUCUAACUGCCUCCCAGGACAAGACGGAGAAUGUGAACAAUGCUCCUGAAGGCCCCUUUCCCUCAAAGAAUCACUGCAAUUGAAGGAAAAAUGCUCCAUGUCCCCUCUGCCAGUUGGUGUUUAUCAAAGGACAACGGAGGAAGAGAGACAAAGUGCCUGGAUGUGUGUGUUAAUCAAGAGUUGUCAGGACCCUGCCUCUAAAAGAAAGCGCUAAAAUGAUGCUUUUGACAAGACUUUUCUCAAAGUGGAUGCAGUCUAAGGGUUGGAAAACAAGGCCCAAUCAGGCUAGGUCUGACUUGUCGCCUGCUUUUGUAAAUAAAGUUUUAUUGGCUCACAGAC
rnacentral:lncRNA from 1 species